rnacentral:tRNA from 1 species
AAAAAGGUAAGCUAAGAAAGCUUGUGGGUUCAUACCCCGCCUAUGAAAUCAGUUUUCCCUUUU